GAAAUGCGAAACGUAAUGCGAUUUGCACGAACCUGUGAGUCAUCAAGUCUUUGAACGCACCUUGCACCAUAUGAGCAAUCGUAUGGUAUACCUGUUUGAGAAUCGUAAAAACCCACUCCUACCCUUGGGUAGGGAAGUGUCGGUUUGAGCGCCAGCUCAAUCUGAUCAAAAGCAGUAGGUCUAGUCAGGCUAGUGGCCUGGGACAUUGUGUGCUAGAGACGUCGCCCUCGAGGCUACUGUCUUCUCACGAUGCGUCCUGGGCUAUUCAAGCUGGUCUGGUGUCGACCUCUGAGUGGUGACCUCACCACAACCCCCCUUUUUGAUCUCAAAUCAGGUAAGGCUACCCGCUGAACUUAA
rnacentral:misc_RNA from 1 species